CACGUAGGGUGCGAGCGUUGUCCGGAAUUAUUGGGCGUAAAGAGCUCGUAGGCGGUGUGUCGCGUCGGCCGUGAAAACUUGCAGCUUAACUGUGGGCGUGCGGUCGAUACGGGCAUCACUGGAGUUCGGCAGGGGAGACUUGAAUUCCUGGUGUAGCGGUGAAAUGCGCAGAUAUCAGGAGGAACACCGGUGGCGAAGGCGGGUCUCUGGGCCGAUACUGACGCUGAGGAGCGAAAGCGUGGGGAGCGAACAGG
rnacentral:rRNA from 1 species